ensembl:lncRNA
CCAGAAUAUCUUUUUUUAAUGGCAUUGUACAUGUUGUAAAUCACAAAGAACAGGUCUUAAAUAAACUCUUAAUGUACAGCUGGUAUAUGUCAAUAAAAAUCUACUUUCUUUUCUCCCCUACCGACUGGUUCUAAAACACUUUUUAUACAGGUUAAUAGAAACGCUAAAUAAACAUAGUCAUUUUUCUUCAAGUAUAUUUUAUCCUCUUAUGCAUUUCUAUAGAUGUUUCCUCAUCUUUACAGUUAGAAAAACUGUACAUAAAAUGACCCAAAAAACAGCAAUCAACACAUUGCUUUUUUUUUAAUACGCAUUUUACAUCCAGCUGGCAAUUUAGCUUACUGUGGUACAAGUCAAACGUGUCCCCUUAGCCCGAAGAUAUUGUGGUGUUAGCAGCCAUACUGGGGCCGUACUGAAAGCAUCAAAAACCCCACAGACAGAGGCUACGUCCACAAAUGGCACCCUAUUCCCUACACAGUGCGCUACUUUUUGAACAGGCUCCAUAGGGCUCAGGGUCAAAAGUAGUGCACUACAUAGGGAAUAGGGUGCCAUUUCGGAGCAUACACACAGAGACAAACGUGCCACAGAUGUCCCGUGACAUCAAGGCCAUUUCCGGGGUUGUCAUGGAGAUAUCCUGAAGACACACAGUCGUAUGUCUGUCUGUGGAUUGGGUAUAUUAUAUACACCAGUCAAAAUAUAUAUCUUUCCCCAUGUUAACAUUGUAAACUUGGUGGGUCAUACCUUCAGACUUGGCACAUAAAGAGAAUGAAAGUUAACGAUUGUAAAAGGUGGCAAUAGAUUCCUGAAAUGAAAUCAGAAUGCAGUCGCUAAAUGACUGAUGUUAGCACUGUUUUUUUAAUAACAAAUCAUCUCACCCUAGUGUGAACUUGAGGGGCAACUCGAAAUUUUAAAACAUGUCAAACAAGUUUCAGACCACGUUUCCAAAACAGAACAGAUUUCUGGCAGGUUAAAGCUUGCUACAAUAUCAUCUAACAUUCACCUUGGUGAUUUAGUUUCUGCAUGAACUCAUAUCACACAAGCAAGGCUUCCACAGCUCUGCUCCUACUGAGGCAAGAGAGUGAUGGGUCGUUUCCCAAAUGGCCCCCUAUAUAUUCCCUACAUACUGUAGUGUACUACAGUCUAAAGUAGUGCACUAUAAACGGAAUAGGGUUCUAUUUGGGACGGACCCAUGACGAGGUGAUCUCAUAGCAUUUUAAUAAUCUAAUUGAAUUAAAUUGAAUUUCAGCUAUAUCAUAGAAUGCGUGUGAACAGAUUUAAUGUACGUGGACAAACCCUCAUUUCCUGGUUAUGAAAACGUUGUGGACACUUCAUAACAGGGAGUCUUAGUUAAAACAACAAACGUCCUGGGCCCUACAAACUAACACUGUGUUAAGCUGGUACUUUUCAUCCACAAGUCCCAUUUCGUCAACUCAAUACUUGUCAGUUACUCCAACUCAAAACACCCUUCUUUCCAAUACCAAGAGUCCACUGGACUCAACUCUUUCCUGUUGGUCUCUAUACAUGUAUUCAUCCCCCUUGUAUUGAGCCAACUGAAGCUUCACUCCCACAGUCUGUCUAGGAGGAGAAGGUAUGCUCAGUUUGACAGUUUAUGGACCACAGCAGACGGUGUGCUUCGGUGCCAGAGAGAGGAUGGGGUUCACCCUGGGUUUGGAUAGGACUCUCCUCUGUGAAGUGCUGUGAUGACACCAGAUGCCUGGUGCUGUUGCCAUGCUAACCCAGGCCAGACACGGGCCAGAUGCUACCUAGGUCAGGCCAACCCAAACUCACACAGAACACAGGGUGCUCAUCUGUUGCACCUUGCUCAGGUCUGUGAGGAGCUGCUUGAUGCGGUGUUUGAGCUGAGGCAGUCUGGCCAAGGGGUCCGGAGGCUCCAACUCCCAGUGAAGUCCAGCCAGCUCUCCAACACUGAGGGACGCAGAGAGAGAGAGACGGUUAGGAUCUAAUAAGGUAAGAACGAGUUCCUCCUUCAAUUACAAUCGGGUC